CCGUUGAACUUAAGCAUAUCAAUAAGCGGGAGGAAAAGAAACCAACAGGGAUUGCCUCAGUAACGGCGAGUGAAGCGGCAAGAGCUCAAAUUUGAAAGCUGGCCCCUUCGGGGUCCGCGUUGUAAUUUGCAGAGGAUGCUUCGGGUGCAGCCCCCGUCUAAGUGCCCUGGAACGGGCCGUCAUAGAGGGUGAGAAUCCCGUCUGGGACGGGGUGUCUGCGUCCGUGUGAAGCUCCUUCGACGAGUCGAGUUGUUUGGGAAUGCAGCUCUAAAUGGGUGGUAAAUUUCAUCUAAAGCUAAAUACUGGCCGGAGACCGAUAGCGCACAAGUAGAGUGAUCGAAAGAUGAAAAGCACUUUGAAAAGAGAGUUAAACAGCACGUGAAAUUGUUGAAAGGGAAGCGUUUGCGACCAGACUCGCCCGCGGGGUUCAGCCGGCAUUCGUGCCGGUGUACUUCCCCGUGGGCGGGCCAGCGUCGGUUUGGGCGGCCGGUCAAAGGCCCUCGGAAUGUAUCACCUCUCGGGGUGUCUUAUAGCCGAGGGUGCAAUGCGGCCUGCCUGGACCGAGGAACGCGCUUCGGCUCGGACGCUGGCGUAAUGGUCGUAAAUGACCCGUCUUGAAACACGGACCA
rnacentral:rRNA from 1 species